rnacentral:rRNA from 1 species
AGCAGCCGCGGUAAUUCCAGCUCCAAUAGCGUAUAUUAAAGUUGUUGCAGUUAAAAAGCUCGUAGUUGAACUUCAGGCCUGUCCAGAUGGUCCGCCUUAAUUGGUGUGUACUGUCCUUGGGUGGGUCCUACCUUCUGGCGAAGCGGCAUGGCCUUAAUUGGUUGUGUCGGGGAACCAGGACUUUUACUGUGAAAAAAUUAGAGUGUUCAAAGCAGGCAUUAUAUGCUCGAAUACAUUAGCAUGGAAUAAUGGAAUAGGACGAUGGUUCUAUUUUGUUGGUUCUAGGACCGUUGUAAUGAUUAAUAGGGAUAGUUGGGGGCAUUAGUAUUCAAUUGUCAGAGGUGAAAUUCUUGGAUUUAUUGAAGACUAACUACUGCGAAAGCAUUUGCCAAGGAUGUUUUCAUUAAUCAAGAACGAAAGUUAGGGGAUCGAAGACGAUCAGAUACCGUCGUAGUCUUAACCAUAAACUAUGCCGACUAGGAAUCGGGCGAUGUUGACAAAAUGACUCGCUCGGCACCUCAUG